UGGGUGGAGUCACGUGCGCUCUGGGCCCGGAGGCGCACAAUGGGCAGAGGGAGUGUAAGCAAGGGGGUGGGUAGUGUUUCUCAGCUGGCGGCUCCCGGAGCUGGGGCAGAGAAGGCGGGAGGCCAGGCUUCCUUGAGCGCUUAUUGGGUGCCGGCAGUACUGGGCCUGCGCCUGGCGUCCUCUUUCUUCGAGGGUCAACCCAACGACAGAGGGGAAACUGAGGCGCACAGCGGGGACUCGAGGCCAGGAAGACUGAGAGUUUUGGACCAUCCUGAGCUACGUAAUAAGACUUUAUCUAAAGGAAAAGAGGAGGAGAGAACAGAAGGAAGGAGGGAAGGGAAGGAGAGGAGAGGAGAGGAGAGGAGAGGAGAGGAGAGGAGAGGAGAGGAGAAGAGAAGAGAAGAGAAGAGAAGAGAAGAGAAGAGAAGAGAAGAGAAGAGAAGAGAAGAGAAGAGAAGAGAAGAGAAGAGGACGUCCUCAUCCUUGGAUAACUGUCAGUCACAGUGGAGAUGAAUCCCUGCAUGUGGUGGACUGCUGUCCUCCAGCAUAACAGACAUUGCCAUCUUUAUCAGCGCAGUUGCUACUAUCCUCAAGAGAUCUUCAAGAAGAGACCUGUGACCUUUUACAGAUGGAAGGGAUGGGAAGAGUCAUUACAUUCUCAUCUGAGGUCCCAGCCACUCUGUCCUGCACCUCUGCCCCAGCUAUUCCUGACCCUCUGGAGGAUCUAGAGGGUCUCAGCCUAUGGGUGGUGACUCCUUUGGGGUGGGGUCCAAUAACCCUUUCCAGAGGUCACCUAAGACCAUCUUGCAUAUCAGAUUAUGCAUCACAACAGUAGCAAAACUUACCGUUAUGAAGUAGCAAGGAAAAUAAUUUUAUGGUUGUGGGUCACCACAGUAUGAGGAGCUGUACUACAGGGCUGCCCGUUGGAAAGGCUGAGAACCACUGCUCUGGCGUGUUCAGAAGAUGGAAGAUUGUCUGAAAGGAGAUCAGCUGAACAGCUACAGGAAAGUCAGUACCCAUGCUGGCCUGAGACUUUUCUGUGAUGAGGGACGGAGAUCACGGGCGCUCCUGUAAGGAACCCCUCAGCCAUGCUUCCGUCAGAAAGCCAAAUAAGCUCACUGGUUUACCAAGCUAGACUUGAAUGGAAUUGCUUUUCCGUCUAUUCUGUACCUCAUUUGAGGCAAGUAGACAUUUGCUCACAGUCCCUCCUCCCCACAUCCCAAGAGCAAAUGCAGCCUCAGUCAUGUGUUCACAGCCACCAUGUAUCUAUCAGGCUGGGGCUGCUUUGAGAUCAGGCAAGAGCUGUUCCCCAGACCCAUCUCAAGGCUUUGAUCUCAGCUCAGAAUGUCCUGUUCUCUGGACCCAAGCCUCGGGGCUUCCAAGGGACAGGGGCUAGUGAAACAAGAUGGGGCUAAAGCCAGUGGACCACUGAAGAUGCUCUGACAAAAGAUUGGAGCCACGUAAGAGCCCAACAUUAACAUUUGGCCACUGUGAGACUUAGGACUUACACAUACCGUUUCCAAGCUGGAAUUUCCUCGUCUAUAAGAUGUAAAUCCAUAAGAUGUAGAUGCCCUAGCUUGCUAAGAGCUUUAGAUAUACUGUAUUCAUGAACCUGGAACAGCUGUGUUAGGCUUGGUCACAGGAGUUUUACACCCAGUGGUUUUUGUUUUUUGUUUUUGUUUUUUUUUUUUUUGAGACAUAGUCUUAUGUAGCCAAGGCUGGCCUUGAGCUUGUAAUCUUCCUGCCUCUAUGUACAGAGUGGUUUGAUUUUAGGCAUGUGCCAACAUUUCUGACUUACGCUCUUACAUCUUCCAAGAUGGCUCAUUCCUUGGGGCCUCAGAUCUUUGCUGUGAGCAGCUUUCUUAGGGCUGCUUCGGUGGCUUUGGCUUGACUGCAGUGGGCAGCUUCCCUAUGGGUAAUUCCCCACAGAACUCAGGGAUGCCUUUUAUGACCUCACAUCAUCUCCUCCUCAGUCUCUUCCUUAGCAGUGAGACACCAAGCCAACUCUGUCUCCAUACGCACUCAGCAUGGUUUUUAACCCACAGAACAGCCCCCGCCCUGACAGAGUCUCUUUGUUUAUCCCUGUCUAGCUUGGAACUCCCUAUAUAGAUAGACCAGGCUGGCCUCACACUGAGAGAGCUCCUGCCUCUUCUUCCUGUGUUUUAGGAUUAAACAGAUAAGUAGUACAUAUGACAGGUAUUAGUAGGGCAUGGGAGCUUCUGAAAUAUUCUUAAAAAUUAUGUUAGAGAAUUGAGAAACAAAUUCAAAAUGUACGCCUGAUUUGGACAUUAAUUAUGUAUGUGUGUGUAUAUAUGUGUGCAGACACAUGUAUGUAUGUAUGUAUGUAUGCAUACAUAUUUUCUUAUUUAGGGCUACUGUUUGUUUGUUUGUUUUUGUUUUUCCGUUCAGCAUUUCUAUGUGUAGCCCUGGCUGUCCUGGAAUUCCCUCUGUAGACCAGGCUAGCCUCGAACUCAGAAAUCCGCCUGCCUCUGCUUCCCAAAUGCUAGGAUUAAAAGUACCUGGCCACCACCACCUGGCUAGGAUUACUAUUCCUGUGAUGAUACACCAUAACCAAAAGCAAGUUGAGAAAGAAAGGGCUUACUUGGUUUACCUUUAAGUCAUUACAGUGGGGGGUGUUUCAUUUGACUUCAUUUUAGAUCUUUCUGUUUCAAAGAAGAUACUUACUUGUGAUGAAUAUAAUCAAACUUAUAUUUAAAUCAAAGAGAAUAUAGCAUUCCUGUCCUGCAAUCAUUCUCCAUUUUUAAAUGACAAGAAGUGUGUGUGUGUGUGUGUGUGUGUGUGUGUUUUAAGGAGAGGAAUGGACCUGUAAGAGAGUGCAGUGAAUAAAUGACUUUGCAUGCAAUCUUGCCAAUCUGAAUUUGAUCCCAAAUCCCAAGGUGGAAGGAAAGAACUCCUCUGACCUUGACUAAUGCCAUGGCACAUGUGUGCCUACAUACACACAUAUCGUAUACAUAUGUGCACAUAUUAAUAAUAAAUUAAAAAUAAAAUGAAAGGAGCUGGAGAAAUGGCUCAGCAGUUAAGAGCUCUUCCAAAGGUCCUGAGUUCAGUUCCCAGAAACCACAUGGUGGCUCACAACCAGCUGUAAUAGGAUCUGAUGCCCUCUACUGGUGUGUCUGAAGCAGCUACAAUGUAUUCAUAUAAAUAAAAUAAAUGAAUCUUUAAAAUAAAAUAAAAUGAAAGAACAGAUGAAACUUAUUUUAAUAAUGUAUUUUCUGUAACCUAUCCAUAGUCAGUACACGGAAACAACAAAAAUACAUUAUUAAAUUAUUAUUAAACAACAAUAAAAAUUAUUUGUGUAUGUAUAGUGUGUGUGUGUGUGUGUGCACACAUGUGAAGACCAUAAGUUGAGACCCAGUGUCUUUCCAUCCCUUUCCACCAUCCUUUUAGAGACAGAACCUCUCUUCGAAGCUGGGGUCUUGCACACCUCAGCUUUAAACCUCCAGCCCAUAAGGGUGGAGAAAAUAACUUUCUAUUGAUUGAGCCAACCAGUCUUUGGUAUUGUUUUGGCAGCUUGAGAAAACAAAUAUAGUAUGAGAAAGAAUGUAAACUCUCAUUCAGAAUAUCAGGGCGGAGUUCAGUGGUAGAGUGGGCAUUUAGCAUGGAUAAAGCACUGGGGUCUGGUCCCACCAUCAAAGACAAUAAUUGAGGAGGCCAGGAGAUGGUUCUGCCAGCCCAAGCAGGAGAGUUGGAGUUUGAAAGCCAGUAUGCUUGUGUGAGCUGGGCACGGGCCUGCCCAUGCUGGGCGAGAGGGGCCCAAGUUGAGACAGGCCUUAGUACUGAGUCAUCAAGAAGGUCCAUUUUUCUCUUUAAAACAUACAUAUUUUUAAACUUUAUUUUUUGCCUCUGGGGAGGCAAGCAGGUGCCAUUUCCUGGAUAUGGAGGGCAGAGGACAACUUUCGGGAGUUGGUUCUCUUUCUACCAUAUGGGUCCCUGGGGUAGAAGUCCCUUUACUGUGUUGGCAGCAGAUGGCCUCCUAAAGCUCCCUGGUCUUCUUGAUGACCCCAGAUCUUGUAUUUUACAAAUAUUUUAAUUGUAUUUGUGUAGGUAGGUAUGUGCAUGCUUGUGUCUGUGUCUGUGUGUGUAUCUGUGUGUCUGCAUGUACCACAUGUGUGCAAGUGCCCAAUGAGACCAGAAAAGGGCAUCAGAUUCCCUGACAUUGAAGUGACAGGUGGUUGUAGCUGCCAACAUGGAUACUGGGAACCAGACUCGGGUGUUUUUGAAGAUUGGAAAUUGCUCUAAACCACUUAGCCAUCUCUUCAGUCACUGGAUUUUGGAUUUUAAUAGAUAGUUUGAAACAGAUAAAGAUACACUACAUUGAGCUAGAAUAACAGAAGCUGGUGUUUGGCACCCAUAUUCUACCCUCACCAUGGCUCUGUGCUCUCCCCCAAAAGCAACUGAGGCAUGUAGAUGGUGUCUAUGAACAAGUGAAAACUACUAACUGAAGAGAAAUGGCAAGCUUUGGAUUUUUGUACUAACAAACGGUUGGGUCUGAGAGAUCUCCUUGUCAUAAAAAAGACUGAUGUAGAGUAUUAUAAUGUAUAAUAUUAAUAUGUGCUGGAAUAUAUUAACAUAAUGUGUUUAAUAUAUCAAGUAUAUAUGCUAGAGCUAAUGAUAUUUCAUGUUAUAAAUUUGUAGUGUAUAUAAGAAAAUAUGUGAAAUCAUAAAAUAACAGGAAAUUAAAUAAUUAAGGAAAAUUACUGGGAAAACAGCCAAACUAGGAAGAGCAAAAAAACUUUCUCAGACCCUGAAGGGUGGGGCAGCAGGUUCCAGCAGUGGCUCUAGACAAGGGUGGGGACAGGGUCCUGGGGUUUGGAGUCUGGCAGAUCUGAUCUCAGGCAGAAAGAAGCUUCCAGAAGUGAAGUGGUGUGUGGACUGAAGGUCGAGCUUUCCUGUUGGCCUAGGCGCUUAUGAGGCAAGAGGUGGUAAUUCCAGUGAUGCUUCACUGCAGCCAGACCCUCCUUCCUGUGUGCAGUGGCCCAGUCCUCUACCACUGCUGGGUGCCUGGCUGCUUGUUUGCCAGGUGAUGGACAACCAGGUGUCUGUACAGUAGCCAAUGGGGUCGCAAAGCUGCCUGCUUCUCUGGCUAGGUGAGAUCACCAGACAGUGUAUAAUGUGCUAAAACAGGCCCUGCUGCUGCUGCCGCCGCUGCUGCUGCUGCUGCUGCUGUUGCCCUCUGCACCCUUAGAGGCCCUGAAAAUCUCAAGGAGCUGCCCUGUACUUGAGGCUACCUGUCCAGGUGGGUCCUACUACUGAUCCAGCCCAGUGUUUCUGAGCCCUAGUCUUCCCAUGUGUAGUGUGGGCUUGGGAUGCUGGCAGACUGGGUAGUUGCUCAGAGCCUCACCUGGGUGGUGCCUGUAACAGGAAUGGAAGGGUGUGGAGGGUGAGAGCAUAGUCAGGGAAGUAUGUGUCACUCAUGAGAAUCCAGAUGUGGCAGAGACAGGAGGAUCCCUGGGGCUCGUGGGCUAGCUAAUGUUGACAACUGUAGUGAGUGACAGAUAUCCCAUGUUGACUUCAUGCCUAUACGUGCAUGUGCACAUGACCAUACAGCACACAGGAAAAUAAAACCAGGCUGAAGCUUGGGUGGAGUGAUGCUCCUGAUGCUCAUCUUAGAGUUGCUGAUGCUGCCCUGAGCUUCUGCUGAGCCUGUCUUCACUGCCGCUCUAGUUCUGGAAGGAAAAGAGGGAGCAGUUGGAAGAGGUUUGGCCCUAGGUCUCCAGUUCGUCCUCAAACUCUUGAAGCCACGGAAUUCAGCGUCAGCAGCGCCAUCUGCCCCCAUGUCCCCUGCCCCAUCCCUCUACUACAGCCAUGCCUCCUCUAACAUGUCUUGUCCACCCUCCCAACCUUUCUGUGAGCUGUUUCUAGGCCUCAGAUGCUGUUCUUAGCUCCACUAACUCCUCCCUUCCAUUCAAGUCUCUGCUCUGGAAACAUGCCCACACCCUGCCCUUCCCCACACUUUAUGUGCCCAGCCAGGCCUUACCAGGCUCUGGAACAGACCCCUGAGGAACAGGAGCCCAUGCGUUCAGUAAAUGUUUAUCAUAGGCAAACAAAUGCACACGGGCCAGCAGACAGGACAGGAGAAUGAAAGAGAAAACAGGACCCGAUAAGCCUCCGUCUCAGAAGGCAGAGAGGCUGUCUACCUGCCUCUAUGGUGUCCAGAGUUGGUGCUAAAUAGUAACUGGUUGGUAUUUAAAAAUCUGGCCUGAAAACACUCAUGAAGGGCAGGUGUGGGGUGAAAGCCAGACCCUCCCAUGAUGUGACUGGACUGUUGGGCCUUUGGAAAGUUCUUUGAGAAGGUACUGAGGCAGCCAGGGCUCCAAGCAGUGGGUAGGUGAAUGAGCAUAGCCAGAGUCUAGGUAGGAUAGGACACGAACCCUAACCAUUUGUAAGCCCUGGCUCUGGCUCAGCCAUCUCUGCUCUGCAGCUUCACCUCCCGACUCCUGCCAUCAAAGAGCUCACCCAUCCUUUGUCUUUAAGCAGGAACCAGGUUACCUGGAAGCAACUUAGCCCAGGAGCACAGGACAGCAGAGUGUGGAUGCAAGAAUCCAUUGCAGCAGACAUCAAGCUCCGGCCUGGACAGUGACCUUCCCUGCCUUGCAGUGCCUGAGGGACCCUAAUAAGCCUAGCCCAGACACAGCCUGGUCCCAAUUAAAUCUCCACCCAGCCAUCUAGGAGGCGUAUGCCAGGGCAUGGAGACAGACUCCAGGCACCAUGGCUGCCAUUCCAAAGGGGAGGGACAUGAGUAAAUGAGCCACAUGCUGUCAUCCCCUGAGAAGAAUGAAGAGACCGAAGUGGCAGGGCCUGGAGACUGCAUUUGAAAGAUCAGGGAGGCACGUACAACUCGGGCCUAACAAAUGCCAAGGAAUCUUCAAACAUUCCAAGUAAAGAAACCAACAGGGCAAGGGAUUGGAGGUGAUGUAGCCAGAGAAGGGAGUAACAGCAGCAGCCCCACAGAUGGCAGGCCCUAGAGAACAUGGCCUGAGAGCUGUCUAGGGUUGCCAGCCCAGGAACUCUAUCUUUCCCUCCACUCCCAGAGUCUCUUCUCCCUAGAGCUGAGAAGCCCCUGACCAUGCUGCCUGGCUUCACCCUUGCACUUCCACUUUCCUUUCCCCUCGGCACGGGCUCAGGUGCUCUCUGAGCCGGAGUUGCCCUAUGGUGGCAGUCCUGAGGGCUUGCGUCCCAUAAGGUUCCUGAGCUUCCUGCCUACUGUGUGCUGGCCAUGUCUUGGGGGUGAUGUAGGUCACAGACCCUCAGAGCCCACCUAUUGUAGCUAGGCUCUCCUAGUGUGCUGUACACACAAGGGUAUCAGGCCAGAGAUUAGGACAUGGUGCGGGCACAGCUCAGUUGUGACCUUGCUCUGCCUCACGAGGUUGGGAAGAGUGUUGGGGAGCUUGUUAGUCCUUUCCUAUCUGUCCCAGGGCAGCUCCCAGUAGCUGAGCCUGACACCUGAGAGCUGUCCUCAUGUCCUUUGCUGUCUUUUGUUCCAAGGGCCGUCCCUAAGUGUCCUUCUUGGACCUGGUAGCAGCCUUCAUCCCAGCUAUAUAUACACAUCCAGUGUCCCUCCCCCUGGAGGAGGAAGGAGGACAUUAAACUACAGGUUAGUGUUGAUCUGAGGAGGCCGUAGUGAGGCUUGUGGGUGCCACUGUCUAAAGAUACACUUCACGUGACUGCAGUAAAUGCAGUGUCUAGAAGCUGGGCCAGCUGGUGCCUUAUAGUGCCGGUGAUACCUCAGGGCUGCCUGUCACUCCACCCUAGUGGAGCAGUGGGAAGGCAGCAGUCUCCAGGGUAGAUAUUUUUGUCAUGGGGAAGCCAUAAGCAGGUCCAGAAUAGUCCCCUGGGACCUCUCUAACCGUGUCUGAAAUGUGGAUAAUGGUGCCAAACUUCGUUCUAGGCACAGUCAGCAACUCUAUGGAUGUGCUAAAAAAAAAUCCACCACGCUGUAUCCUUCAAAUGGUGAAUGGUAAGGGAUGUGAACCAUAAAUAAGCCCAUUAAGCACCCUCAGUAAACUGAGGCUGCCGGCCGUAAUUCCAGCACUUGGGGUGAGACAGCCUGGGGUACUGCUCCCCUUUCCUGUCUGUUGCUGUGAUGAACCCUGGAUACAAAGCAACUGAGGGAGAAAGAAAGGAACUUAAGCUCACACUGGAAGGCCACAGCCUGUCACUGAGGAAGUCUGGGCAGGGACGUGAGAAACCACUGAGAAAUGCUUCUCUCCAGACUCGACAGCCUGACUAGAGAUGGCCCCGCCCACAUCAAUCAGCAUUCAGACAAUCCCUCACAGACAGGUCUGCAGGUCAGUCUGGUUCAGAGAGGCAGUUCCUCCCCGAAGAUUCUAGGCUAUGUUAAAUUGAUUAUUGCUAACUCUCACAGCUGCAUAUUAAGACUUUUACCACAAAGAACAACACACACACACACACACACACACACACACACACGUGGUAGUACUCAGGAGGCAAAGGCCGAAGACUUACCCAAAGUUCAAGUCUUGGUCUACAUAGUGAUAACCCGUUCCCCACCAGCACCCCAAAAAGGUGGUUGGCAAUUCAUAUACUCCAGGGCCUUAUAGCAAAACAACCAAAACAAUACAGGAACACCCCAGAUAUCCUACACCCUUCCCCCAAAGUGCUAGAGUCCAGAUCUGCUCAGAUAAAUAGAAAGUUAAAACAAACCAUACAACAUUGCCACUUCAGAAAUAAUGACCUCAGUAGCAGUAGCCGGAGUAGCCGUUCCCUAGAGCCUGGAACACGCUGAGUCUUGUUCGGUCCGUCAGCCUUCCCCACCCCCUCGACACUGUGACCUCACUUGAUAGGUGAGGAAUCUGACGCACAGUGGGCACUUGUGAGGUCAAGGUUUGACCCGGCAGUCAGCACUAAAGCGUCCUCUGCCCCUCAGACACACAGAAGUCAACAGAAUGAAGAAGUGCUUAGUGGGCAAGGGGAAGAGACUAUCGUGGUUUGGGGUUUGUGUCUCUCUGUGUGUGUGGUUGUUGUUGUUGUUGUUGUUUUGUUUUGUUUUUGAGACAGGGUUUCUCUGUGUAGCCCUGUUAUCCUGGAACUCACUCUGUAGACCAGGCUGGCCUCACACUCAGAGAUCUGCCUGCCUCUGCCUCCCAUUUUGCUAAAAUCAAAGGUGUGUGCCACCACCACUUGACUGCAAUUAUAGUUUUAUUGUUUUAUUUUUUCAAGAUAGGGCUCACUAUGUAACCCAGGCUGGCCUGGAACUCACAGAGAUCUUUUUGCCUCUACUUCCUGACUGUUGGUAUUAAAAGACCUGUGCCACUGUG